rnacentral:lncRNA from 11 species
UUUUGCCUUGGAUCUGCGCCCGGCCCUUCCUUCCUUUGCUGGCCUUUGGCUGGCGUGGAGAAGUUACUAUGGCAACUUCCCAAUUCCUGGCAAAAAAAGCGAGGCACGACUUUGCAGAAGGGCGCAACGGGGCACAUGCAGAGAAGAGGAGGAGGAGCCCUUGGCCUGCGCACAAGGCCUUGCAGCCUGGCCACGCACUGCAUCCCCUUCUCAUAGGAGUGACUUGAGAAACUGCAAAUCGCUUCUGGUGUGAGAGAAUUGGCUGUCUGCAAGGACGUUGCCCAGGGGAUGUUGCCUGGAUGUUUUUGAUGUUUUUACCAUCCUUGUGGGAGGCUUCUCUCAUGUCCCCGCAUGGAGCUGGAGCUGACAGAGGGAGCUCAUCCGCACUCUCCCCGGGUUGGAUUCGAACCUGGUAGCCAUCGAGUCAGCAACCCAACCUUCAAGUCACAAGGCUUUAACCCAAUAAUAUAAUAUAUUGUAUGCACAGUCUAUAUAACUUGUAAGUCGCCCGUGAGAAGGGUGAGAUAGAAAUGUCCCUAAUAAAUAAAUAAAUAUUCCCAAU